AGUUUUUGAAGGAUCAAAAGCUGAUAUUCUGGUUGUGACGUAUCGUAUUAUAUUUCUAAUCCUCGGCAAAAAAAAAAACACAGGAAUUGUUUAUGCCGAAUAAAUCGUUUGAUCGGCAGGUAGCAAUCGAACAGAAAGGCCUGUGUAGGCCAUAGAAACGACGUUUAUGGAUUAACAAGGAUUAAGCGUUCUUAACUUACUUAGAUGCUUCUCGGAAAUUGCACCUUGCUUGUCGUUUAGAUUUGGUCGUCACCCUCCAUCUUUGCUUUUGCAAGCUAACAUUUCUAAAUCAUCCAAUGCCACUUCGACGAUUGGUAUCAGAAGCAUUUAUUCGAGUGGGGGAGAAUUAAAGUUGCUCUAUCGACUGCUAAGUGCUCUCAAUCAAUGUUGAAUCUGAGGAAAACAAGAUCUGAUGGAAUAGCCACCACAGAUAAAAUCCUCGCAGAGGUGAUCGUUGAACACAGUCCAGAGUCGACGUGCAAAUUCAGGAUCGUUCUAACCUACAAUGGUCAAACUCAACCAGAAAUGACAUCACCACGAACACCGUGAUUAGUUUAAACGGGGAAUUCAGUCUUCAGCGCUCAUUGAACAAGCACCGCUCAUUGAACAAGCACUGAAAGGUAUCCUGAAAUCGUUUGAGCUGAAGGACAGCACUACGCUUUGCUAAACUUCACGACGCAGGUGUAAUUUUGAGUCGCGGAAGCGCGCUCUAGCGGCUGUGCGGUAUAGUAGCGGCUUCGUUGAUGUACGCGAAGUGUCCGUCUGACUCUGUCCUAUUUUAGCGUACGAACAUGAGGUGAGUAACGUGUGGAUCUAUUACAGGCAUUGAGUUAGUCCUGGGAUUGGAUGGAAGUGGGUGUUCGACUCACUCGGAAAUGACGCAGCUCAUUUAGGCUCAUUUAAGGAUGAACUCACGACGAAAUGUGUUUGUCGUUGAGUCGCUUGGCCGCUUUAUUGCAUUUAUCUCUAUCAUGAGCCUACUGAAUAUUAUUAUAUACACGAUGAUCGUCAAGUUUAGCUACCAUACAACGUACAUGGAAGCAAAUAGUAGGUUUACAGCUGGGAAAAGAUAGGUCCCACUAUCAUUCUGUAAAAAAGUUUGAAUUAAUCCUGAUGACAAACAAGGCAUUUUCGCACGAUCGAUAAAACCUAGACAUUACUAAAAACAGACGCAAUUAUAAUUGCAAAGCCAUUUUGCUCUAGGAUACAUUUACUUGAAAGGUAGUGGUUACAAAGUUAUACAUCGUGCUAUGAACUUCUGUUUUCUUGCUUUUUCAGUUUUCUUGCUUCUCGCAUGAUACGAUAAUGGCAGCCGGUAACACCCCUGUCAGUUAUAUAUCAUCUAAUACAGACAGAAGAUGAAAACUUACCACAAACAAGAUGACUCUCAGCAAACCCGUUUCUGUUAGAGGCUUUAACAGAGCCGUGUGACCCUACUUCAAGGAAGUGCUUGGAAAUCGAAUACAGACCACGAUUUUUGACGAUCGAAUUCGUGAUCGCCUUUCACGAGCUCGUUUCCGAUUCCAUUCGGAACAUAUGUAAAUUAACCAGCAAGACUAUAUUGGUUGAGCUCGCGCAUUAAAGAAAAAAAUACGUUAUGGAUCGUUGACUACUGAUUGCAUCUUCACUUGCUUACUUAAUCUACUGACGAAGAAGCUGACGAAGAAUUCAUGGAGCUUCAUAUACCGACACUUGUUUACUGACGUACAAACAACAGAAAUACAGAUACAUCUAGUCAUGCUUAACGCUAUUCUACGGCGAAGCUUUCGUAUGCGCUGAGGUGCUAAUAACACGGAUAAUAGAACUAUAUACUUUCGCGCUGUAUAGACAAAUCGUUCAAGCACUAUGCCUAUAAGCAUUUAGAACUAACAUAAUAAUAACAAGACGGCGGUAUCCGUGGUGGGUAUAUAGUGACGUUGCUAACUGGAACAACGUAUGCUCGAAAAUUAUACAACAUAAGCUUUCCUUCAAUGCAAACAGAGGCUUUCCUGAAAGGUCAUCAGUGUCUCCUCUUAUGGCUACAAGUCGCUAUUAUAUCUAUUAGCAUAAUGAUAAGGUUAAAUUGGAUUCAUUUAAUUUGUACCUCUGAUGUUUCUUAACGAAACUAGCCGUGUUUCACCCAUAAAAUAUCCAACCUUUGACCACUUUCCUACGUUUUUACAUAAAUUUAAUGCUUAAAUUAUCUUCAAAAUCGAAAUCACUAUCUAUUCCGCGGUGGGUGAACAAAUAGCGAAAUUAGAAAGGAAGUGUAUAUUUGAAUCAGCUGUGACUUCCAGUCGUUCCGCAUCUUAGGCCGCUUCACUAAUUAAGGUAUUGGAACGUCCUUUCUCGCUGACAAUUCCUUACUUCAUUUAAGACUAGGUGUGUCCUUCCAAAUCUACGGAUCUACAGCUCGGACCCGAUUUGGUGCUCCUCAGUUAGACAUGCUAAAUGAAUUCCAAUUAAGUAAGAUAUUUUGUGAUUUUCCUAGGUUAGGAAAGAUUAUGUGGGUCUAAUCCGUUUGCUCUUUAAAGCCAAUCAACAUGCUGGUGAAGGGGCGAGGGGGGGGGGGGUAAACAGCAACGCCAAAAUAAUUAAUGAGCAAAUAACUCUUACCAGGGCAUUUCAACGUGAUGGAAAGAAUAGAAACGUUGUCGGAAGUUAAUGUAUGAACUUCACAUCUACGACAAAAAAGAAUAUAGUUUAAAGCAAAAACUAAGUUUCCGUAAAGCUUUCCGUAAAAGUUCCUAAAGUCCUAAAAGUCCUAAAGUUUCCGUAAAAAAAAAAUUUGAACGUUAGUCACUCCAGUGAAAUAUCGCAUUUGACAGGUUCAGGUCCAUCGUCAAAUGGGUACAACCUCUGCUAAAUAUACGUAAAAGCCAUUUUUGACCUGCGAAAAGCGUGAUUAGUGUAUGUGACAUAACACGAAAAGCAAACGGCGACGUAUAUAUCGUUGGCACCCAGAAGCUGAUAUAUUUCAACUGAUACAUACUUGCUGGUCGUGGCAAUCACGAUUCUCGUUCGCCCGCCUAACGCUACCGUACAUGGCUCCCGAGCACAAGCGCAAUUCUCUCUCUACGUGUCCUUAUACAUGUAUCAAUUUGACGGCCUGUUUAUCUGUUUAUGUUGAGAACAGUUAUCGCCUAGACAGAUUUUUUUUUUUGCUUUCGGCUGCACUGUUCCUUCUCUUCCUCUUGAUUUUCCAGUUAUGCUACCGAAAUAAAGAUGCGCCUAUUGCUCUGUGUUUAUCCAUCGUCUCUUCUCCUUACGGCAGAAUUAUGCCACGACGGUUUCAUUAAUAGGGCCCAAACAAACAGCCUAAUUAGCGUUGAUAAAGCAGCACAACAACGGCCGUAUCACAUGAGUCAAGUAGUGACUGCCACGAAGACAAAAUCGGUAGGGUUUCUUUUUCAGUGGCGCCAUCUACCGCAAACGUCUCCUCACGGUGAUUAACUUGCUAACGCGUAAUGUCGUACGACAUCGAAGUGAGUGGACGUUGACUUUUGCAAGUUGACACAGCCCCGGUCAAUCGAAUGGGUUGAAAGGGGAGGCCCCACACGAAAUCGUGCCUGUUGUAUACGCGCUGAUUUUGAUUGCCGAUCCGCUUCAAUGGAUGAUGAUGACCCACGGCUGGCUUAAGUUAAC
rnacentral:lncRNA from 1 species